CUGGUUGAUCCUGCCAGUAGUCAUAUGCUUGUCUCAAAGAUUAAGCCAUGCAUGUCUAAGUACAUACCUUUGCACGGUGAAACCGCGAAUGGCUCAUUAAAUCAGUUAUGGUUCCUUAGAUCGUUCAUACUACAUGGAUAACUGUGGUAAUUCUAGAGCUAAUACAUGCAAAAAGCUCCGACCGUAUGGGAAGAGCGCUUUUAUUAGACCAAAACCAAUGGGGUCGCAAGAUCCCUUUGUAUGGUGACUCUGGAUAACUUUGUGCUGAUCGCAUGGCCUCGAGCCGGCGACGUAUCUUUCAAGUGUCUGCCCUAUCAACUUUCGAUGGUAAGCGAUUUGCCUACCAUGGUUGUAACGGGUAACGGGGAAUCAGGGUUCGAUUCCGGAGAGGGAGCAUGAGAGAUGGCUACCACAUCUACGGAAGGCAGCAGGCGCGCAAAUUACCCACUCCUAGAACGGGGAGGUAGUGACGAAAAAUAACAAUACCGGACUCAAUGAGGCUCGGUAAUUGAAAUGAGUACAGUUUAAAACCCUUAACGAGGAUCUAUUGGAGGGCAAGUCUGGU
rnacentral:rRNA from 1 species